GACGUAGGGCGCGAGCGUUGUCCGGAUUUAUUGGGCGUAAAGAGCGUGUAGGCGGCUAGGUAGGUCCGUUGUGAAAACUCGAGCUCAACCUCGAGACGCCGGUGGAAACCAUCUAGCUAGAGUCCGGAAGAGGAGAGUGGAAUUCCUGGUGUAGCGGUGAAAUGCGCAGAUAUCAGGAGGAACACCAACGGCGAAAGCAGCUUCUGGGACGGUACUGACGCUGAGACGCGAAAGCGUGGGGAGCGAACAGG
rnacentral:rRNA from 1 species